rnacentral:rRNA from 1 species
CCCUAGUAACGGCGAGUGAAGCGGCAACAGCUCAAAUUUGAAAUCUGGCCCCUUUGGGGUCCGAGUUGUAAUUUGCAGAGGGUGCUUUGGCGUUGGCGGCGGUCUAAGUUCCUUGGAACAGGACAUCGCAGAGGGUGAGAAUCCCGUAUGUGGUCGCAUGCCUUCGCCGUGUAAAGCCCCUUCGACGAGUCGAGUUGUUUGGGAAUGCAGCUCUAAAUGGGAGGUAAAUUUCUUCUAAAGCUAAAUACCGGCCAGAGACCGAUAGCGCACAAGUAGAGUGAUCGAAAGAUGAAAAGCACUUUGGAAAGAGAGUCAAACAGCACGUGAAAUUGUUGAAAGGGAAGCGCUUGCAGCCAGACUUGCCUGUAGUUGCUCACCCGGGCUCCUGCCCGGGGCACUCUUCUGCAGGCAGGCCAGCAUCAGUUUGGGCGGUCGGAUAAAGGGCUCUGACACGUACUUCCCCUCGGGGUUGACAUACAGGGGAGCCGCAAUGCGACCAGCCCGGACUGAGGUCCGCGCAUCUGCUAGGAUGCUGGCGUAAUGGCUGUAAGCGGCCCGUCUUGAAACACGGACCAAGGAGUCUAACAUCUAUGCGAGUGUUUGGGUGUCAAGCCCGAGCGCGCAAUGAAAGUGAACGGAGGUGGGAGCCCCUCGGGGUGCACCAUCGACCGAUCCUGAUGUCUUC